rnacentral:rRNA from 1 species
AAAACAUGGCUCCUUGUUAAUAAAAAAUAAGGAGUCGGACCUGCCCAGUGAAUUUUUUCAACGGCCGCGGUACUCUGACCGUGCAAAGGUAGCAUAAUCAUUUGCCUUAUAAUUGAGGGCUAGUAUGAAUGGUUUGACAAGAAUGAAGCUGUCUCUUUACAAUUUAAUAGAAUUUUAUUUACAGGUGAAGAAGCCUGUAUUAAAUUAAAAGACAAGAAGACCCUAUCGAGCUUGAAAAAAAUUAAUAGGAGGACAAUCAAUAUAUCUAUAAGAUUAACUAUUAAAAAUUUUAGUUGGGGCGACUGAGGAACAAAUAAAGCUUCCUUUAUGGUUAUAAAAUAUAAAACAUACAGGUAUUGAUCCAGAACAAUCUGAUUAACGAAAUUAGUUACCGUAGGGAUAACAGCAUUAUCUUUUUUAAGAGCUCUUAUCGAAAAAAAGGUUUGUGACCUCGAUGUUGGACCAGAAUAUCCUAAAGAUGCAGCAGUCUUUAAGGGUUGGUCUGUUCGACCAUUAAAAUUCUACGUGA